CGAGACUCUGUCUUAAAAAAAUAAUAAAAAUAAAAAUAAAAACUGACAUAAUUAAGAACUUGAGAAAAAGACAAAUCUUAGAAACAAAAACUGCAUUACUAGGUAGCCAAGGGAGAACAGGAAGACAAAAAAUACAGUAAGAGACAUAACAGAUAGAAAUAAUAAAAACCAAGAAAAUGGAAGCAGAAAGAACAGGAUACAAGCACAAUCGAACACAAGUAUCAUUAGAGAACCUGAAGAAGAAAAACCAAAUAAUAGACUAGGACUAAUUGUAAAACUAUAAUCAAGAAAACUUUCCUGAGGAAAAAAAAAAGUUCUGAAUCUACAUAUGGUAAAGAGACAGCACAUGUAUGAAAAAUAGACCGCAAAAGAUAUCUUAACAAAUUAUUGUAAUUUAUAGAACACUAAAGCCCAGACUUCACCACUACACAAUAUAUCCAUGUAACACAACUGCACAUGUACUCUCUAAAUCUAUAAAAAUAAAAAUAAAUGAUCAGUAAUGAUGGCCCAAUGGAUACCUUCCAGAAGAAAUGGAAUCAGUCUUCCCCCUUGUGGAUAACUAGCAAAAGUACCUUAUUUUCCCCACUAAAAGUUACAUGUUAGAGUUUUGAGGGAACCACAGGCUAUGUGUUUUUUCCUUCUCAUCUAAAGGUAAUAGGAAGUCAUUUUAUAUAAAAUUUGUGAGCCAGACACGGUGGCUCAUGCCUGUAAUCCCAGCACUUUGGGAGUCCAAGGCAGGCAGAUCACUUGAGCCCAGGAAUUAGAGACCAGCCUGGGCAACAUGGUGAAACCCCUUCUCUACUACAAAUACAAAAAAUUAGCUGGGUGUGGUGGCACAUGCCUGUAGUCCUAGCUACUCAGGAGGCUGAGGUGGGGGUUUCACUUGAGUCUGGGAGUUAUAGGCUGCAGUGAGCCCUCCUGGAACCAGCACCAAUGAACUACAGCCUGGGCCACGGAGUGAGACCCUGUCUCAAAAAAAUAUAUAUAUAAUAAUAAGAAAUUAAAUUAAAUUUGUGAUAAAGUACACAUAUCUCUGUAAUAGCUAGCUGGCUUUAUGACUGGUAUUUUAAAAUAGCACAAUUUUUUAAAAAGUAAAAUGAGUCAAAGAGAACAAAAUGGAGGAACAUUUACAAGAAAGCAAGGAAAGUGUGAAGUGAGGCUUCUAUAACCAAGCAAGAUUCCUUCACAUAUCCAAGCUAUGGAGAAACAGUUUUGAACAUGCUGGAACUCAGGGGAUGCUGACCCAUGAGCUUUUUUCAAGAAACCUGACACCUGGGAAAACUGGUGAAACAAGAUUAAUAGUGAGUGUUUAAUAUAUUUAACUGAAGAUCUAAGACUAAACCAAAGGUAAGAUAAGAAUCAAAGGAUGAUAUAGAAACAUGUUCUCUGACAAAGUCAGAAAAAAGCACAACCUAAAAAAAGAAAGAGAGGGAAAAGCAUAAUUAGCUCAAUGAUUUACUUACAAAAGUUGGGAAACAAAUGACAUCAUUUCAAGCUACCAAAAAAAAAAAGCAGAAGCUUAAAUAUAUUUAGGUGCACAGAGUGCAAGUAAAGAAAGAGAAUAUGCAUUAUUCUAAUCAUUAAAAUUGAAUGGCAGAGAAAGGAAGGAAAGAGGAGUUUGCAAAACAAAUUAUAUUCUUCUUGCUUACAGUAGAGACCCAGUCAAUAUUAUCUAAAGGAAAGAAGGAAGAAUGGGUAUUAUAAAAACGUCAGUACUAAUACAAAAGUUCAAACAUUUCCAAUUAUCAAAAGCAAAAAACAGAACAGAAAAACUAAGAAAACAGAACACAUGGCAAAAGUUUUUUAUAACUCUUUUUGAAAAAAAUGAAGCAUUUUUUAAUGCCAGAACUGGGUAUAAACAUGUGGUGAGAGCUUAUAAUUUUAUGUUGCCUUGGCAUCCAUCUUAAAAUAUGUUUUAACUUUCUCAUACCAGAAGCAGGGCUCAGUCAGCCUUGACACCGUUUCUAAUACUAUUCCCCACUGGAAUGGCUCCAGUUGGUGGCCAGAGAUACUGCUUCAUUUCAAGGAACCAUUCAGACAUUUGCCUGCAAACUUAACGUGACCGCCUCUCAGUCAGGGGGACCUCCUGGAACCAGUGCCUGCUUGCUUUAAAUUCAACAAUUAAACCUGUUUGGAUAACACUCUGAACCCAAUAAAGGUAUUGGUCUACGGGUCCCUUCUCUCUCUCUCUCUCUCUCUCUCUCUCUCUCUCUCUGCCUGUACUCCUUGGUGUGUGGUGUGUGUGUGUGUGUGUGUGUGUGUGUGUGUGUGUGUGUGCGCGCGCGCGCGCCCGCGCUCCCUCCAGGAUCUGUAAGUACCAAAAACGCUUAAACUUUCACACUGCGGUUGUGUCACUGAAGCAGUGCCUGAAAUCUAAUCCCUGAGUGUGACGCCGCCCCAAAGGGCCCCAAGCAGGUAGAUCCCAUGCUGAUGCUCUUUUAUCCUGGCCUCUCAGCUGUUGAGGAGAGUAAUUGCCGGGCUAAACUGAUAAAGUUUCAUUCCAAACAAUUAGCCUAGUCUGCAGGAUUGCAGUCGCGGCUUGGACACCAUCCCGGUGUCUGUCCCCCGCAGAGGGCUUGCUACCUUGCUGUAUCAGCUGGCCCAGCAGGUCUGGGGCCGCGCGCUGCUUACAGGCGCUGGAUCUCGCUGCUCGUCGCUGCGCGCUACUAGGUCCUGCUGUCGUCCGAGUCGCCUCCGGGACUCUCCGGAAUUGUAGCGGCUGUAGCCGGCUCCUUGCCUGCGGCGCGGAGGGCAGGUCCCAGUGGUAGGAGGAUGUGUUCCCUUUGCAGAAUCAGACCCCCUCCUGGGACUGUGGGGACCCUCUGUCGCCGGCCUCCAUUGGAGGAUGCGUUGUCCCUGGAGCUGGGUGCGCUGUUGCGUGACCUGGGGCCUGGGUGGUGGGCGGGCCUGUCCAUGGCAAAGGGCACGGCUGCGCGCUACUUCCCGAGAACCCGCCAGCAGGCUCUUGGGAAGCAGCGAUUUCUCCUUAGUCACAGUCAGAGAGGGUGAUGCGACACACUGGGCUUCACUGUGCUCGUGAAGCGGAGCCAGGGUGAAAGGAUCAUAUGGCCUAACCCUAACCCUAAUGGGAGUAACUUCACCUGCGUCCCACAGGCCCCGCAAGAGUGACGCUGCCAGGCAGGCGCCGCCCUGUUCGGUUCCUGCUGCUGUCGCUCCUCGCUCCCCACCACCUCCAGAGCUCCGGUGGGUCACCAUGGAAAGGGAAGCCGCUGCCUGCAAGGCCAGCAGACACAGAGGUCACCCUCCAAUUUUUUCGGGUAACAUUCUGUAAGGACAGAACACCAGGAGGCUACUCCUACCACCAGGAGCAUGUCAGCAAAACUCAAACCUGUGCGAUAAAACAAGAGACAUAUUUAAAAUAUAAUAACUCCAAGGACUAGAUUGCAGCUCUGGACAGAGCAGCAUGCGG
rnacentral:lncRNA from 10 species